ensembl:lncRNA
AUGAUGGAGUUCUGGUUUAUGACCACAGUCUUUUUUGUUAACACAGGUCAACCCGAUUUAUCUGUGCAAGAGGAGGUAAAGGAGGGUGAGAAUGUGUCUGCAUCCUGCUCCGUGUUUCACUCCUGCCCCACAUAUCCACCUUCUUUCAUCUGGAGUCACUCUGGAGAACAGCACGAUCAAACACAGCAGCUUCAUGAAGGCCAGUGGAAUUCAACAUCUACUCUGACCUUUCACCCAAACCGCUCUGAUCACAACAAGCCUUUAAAAUGCAAAAUAACAUACCAUCAUGGGCUGUACGUGGAAACCUCUAAGAUACUUCAAGUAAAAUAUGCCCCUGACAUCAAGACUUCCUCAAAGUGCUCCUCCGAGGGCGGCGUGGUAAAGUGUGAGUGCAUCGUAGAGUCCGAGCCUCCCAGCAUGGUCUAUUUUAUUCUUGGUGACAGAGUCAUGCAAAGCAGCAAAGCAGAGAAAAAUGGCUCUGUUACUAUUGAGACUCUGCAGACAGACUUUGGGUCUUUCAGCUUUGUGCACUGCCUGGCAAACAACAGGCUGGGAUAUGACAACAUCUUACUCUCUUUACCUGUUAAAGACAACAUGCAGAAUAUUCUUAUCUCGUCUGGAGCAGGUGUGAUUUUGCUGAUUAUUUUGAUAGGAAGUGGAGUGGGAGUUGUUAAAAAAUGCAGGGGGAGAUCAAGAGACACAACAACCACUAACUUGAGCACCAUGAUGUCAGACAGACCUGUGGAGCUCCCUCAUAGUGGCCCACCAAAAAGGAAAAUGAGCCGUAAGGACAUCCCUUCCCCUGAUGUGUACACCAAUUAUCCUGUCUAUGGCAACGUAGGGAUAAGUAAUGUUUUCUUCAUUAGUUCAUUCAUAUUGUGCAUGCAUGAAACAGGGGAGUGA